UACGAAGGGGGCUAGCGUUGUUCGGAAUUACUGGGCGUAAAGGGCGCGCAGGCGGCCCUCCAAGUCAGGCGUGAAAGCCCCGGGCUCAACCCGGGAACAGCGCUUGAGACUGGGGGGCUUGAGUUCGGGAGAGGAGAGUGGAAUUCCCAGUGUAGAGGUGAAAUUCGUAGAUAUUGGGAAGAACACCGGUGGCGAAGGCGGCCUUCUGGACAGUGACUGACGCUGAGACGCGAAAGCGUGGGGAGCAAACAGG
rnacentral:rRNA from 1 species